CCUACGGGAGGCAGCAGUGAGGAAUAUUGGUCAAUGGACGAGAGUCUGAACCAGCCAAGUAGCGUGAAGGAUGACUGCCCUAUGGGUUGUAAACUUCUUUUAUAUGGGAAUAAAAUGUUCCACGUGUGGGAUUUUGUAUGUACCAUAUGAAUAAGGAUCGGCUAACUCCGUGCCAGCAGCCGCGGUAAUACGGAGGAUCCGAGCGUUAUCCGGAUUUAUUGGGUUUAAAGGGAGCGUAGGUGGAUUGUUAAGUCAGUUGUGAAAGUUUGGGGCUCAACCGUAAAAUUGCAGUUGAAACUGGCAGUCUUGAGUACAGUAGAGGUGGGCGGAAUGCGUGGUGUAGCGGUGAAAUGCUUAGAUAUCACGAAGAACUCCGAUUGCGAAGGCAGUUCACUGGACUGCAACUGACACUGAGGCUCGAAAGUGUGGGUAUCAAACAGGAUUAGAUACCCCUGUAGUC
rnacentral:rRNA from 1 species